AAUGAUCACACACAUCUGUGUACAAAGAAAAUCUUCAUACUCUUUAUGUUUUCUCAAGCUGUCCCCUUCAAAACCAGCAAUAAUCAGUCCCGGACCAGCACCGACCCCCGGAUCAUCUCCAUCAAGACAGUAAGAGGGGAAUGAAUAAAGGCUGAAGUGGAGAAUGAGAGGAAGAUCAGUGCUGGAGGUUAAUGGUGUGUGGGAGCUUCACAGGACACGACGCUAUGAAGAAUGAAGGACUGAGAAGAGAAACCUCUUCACUGUCAA